ACCGCAUUUGGCCGGAGGACUCCAGACGGAGAACGAUGAAUCAGAAUCAGAUGAUAGCUCCGGGAAAAGAGGCAGGACCGAAGGUCGUUCGAUUGCUCUGCUUCGUCGGCGCUGGAUUUUUGUGCACAGCUGCGAUUAACAAGUGGAGAGAGUGGGAGAGGAAGUCCACGAUUCAAAAUCAGCAGGAGCAAGAAGAAGGCCAGUUGUUGGAGAAGCCAUCGAAUGCGGUACAAAGGGCGCUGGAAUAAUCUUGGGUGAAAAGAUUUAAGAAUUCCAUGGUAAUAUAAAGAACUCGAAUCAUUAUAUUAUUUAGAGUUGUAAUUAUGUUAUGCUUUCACUAUGAAUAUGAAUACAAUGCUGUUUGGAUGGAUGUUGAGAAGUUAUCUUCCUCUUUUGAUUCAAAUCUUGUGAGGAAGAUUGCCUUUUUUGACCAUUUGACAUGUUUUAGGUCCAUUGUUUACUAUCAUUAUUGCUGUCUUUGAUGCACAUUUUCUGUUGUUGAAGUUCACUAUACUUGAAAUUGCAGUCUUUUAUGUUUA